GUAAAAAAAAAAUGAAAGGUGCAUACAAAGAGAGAGAAAAAGGAGAGAUGUCAUCUGAUCCAGAACUCUUUUCAAAAUUGGUUCUCCCUCCAACUUAGUCAAUAUUAUCCUCAAAUCAACCUAAACAAAAUACAAAAGAAAUCAAAAAGCAUAAGCUAAAAUUGGAUUACCUUCCAGAGAGUGCUAAGUUUAUCAUCUUCAAUCAGAUUACAUUUAUUGACAGGUGCUUCCACAC
rnacentral:lncRNA from 1 species